CAUGCUGUCAUUACAUCACUGUGUGUUUCCUUACUGGCUUCUCUUCCUGCUAACAGGUGUGAUCUGUGAGGAGCUCACAGCACUCGACACUCAGAAAUCCAGUUUAGAAGGAAGCACUGUGACUCUGUCCUAUAAAUACUCCAGACAAGCAGCUCCUGGUGAUUAUUUCUUCUGGUAUCGACAAUAUCCUGGAAAACCUCCAGAGUUCCUGAUCUCUCACUCAGACAAAGGACAGCUGACAUCAGAUCCAGUCAUUAGACUGUCUGUGAACGUGAACAAUGAUCAAACACUGAUGACUCUUCAGAUCUCCUCUGCUGCAGUGUCUGACUCUGCUGUGUACUACUGUUUGAGCUCAUCCAAUGACAAAUUUCCCACGUGUGGACUAUAA